rnacentral:rRNA from 1 species
UACGUAGGGGGCAAGCGUUGUCCGGAUUUAUUGGGCGUAAAGAGCGUGUAGGCGGCCAAGCAGGUCCGCUGUGAAAACUCGAGGCUCAACCUCGAGACGUCGGUGGAAACCGUUUGGCUAGAGUCCGGAAGAGGAGAGUGGAAUUCCCGGUGUAGCGGUGAAAUGCGUAGAUAUCGGGAGGAAUACCAGUGGCGAAGGCGGCCUUCUGGACGGAUACUGACGCUGAGGCGCGAAAGCCAGGGGAGCAAACGGG